ACGGGAGGCAGCAGUGGGGAAUUUUGGACAAUGGGGGCAACCCUGAUCCAGCCAUGCCGCGUGAGUGAAGAAGGCCUUCGGGUUGUAAAGCUCUUUCGGACGGAAAGAAAUCGGGUGGGCUAAUACCCUGCCUGGAUGACGGUACCGUAAGAAGAAGCACCGGCUAACUACGUGCCAGCAGCCGCGGUAAUACGUAGGGUGCGAGCGUUAAUCGGAAUUACUGGGCGUAAAGCGUGCGCAGGCGGUUGUGUAAGACAGGUGUGAAAUCCCCGGGCUUAACCUGGGAACUGCGCUUGUGACUGCACGGCUAGAGUACGGCAGAGGGGGGUGGAAUUCCACGUGUAGCAGUGAAAUGCGUAGAGAUGUGGAGGAACACCGAUGGCGAAGGCAGCCCCCUGGGCCGAUACUGACGCUCAUGCACGAAAGCGUGGGGAGCAAACAGGAUUAGAUACCCUGGUA
rnacentral:rRNA from 1 species